UUUAUAUGUAGAGAACUACAGCAAAAUAUCUUCAAUUGUUUUAAUAAAUGCAAUAUAAAAUAUGUAGAGAAUUUUAGUUUAUUUUAAGAAAUGCAAUACAUUAGCAAGAAAACAUAACUAAAGGUUCAACAAUAUCAUUCAAAAUAAAUUAAAAUAUUAAAAGGUUGCUCUAGUCAAACAUAUCAAUAUACUUUUACAAGAGAAAAAAAUAGUCACUCAUGUCCCAAUCGAUCUGGAUGCUUUCUGUGCUCCUCCAUAAGCUGCAAUAGCAAUUAUAAAAAAAAAGUUAAGAAAAUGGUCGAAUUAUGUCCACAUGAAACAGCUAAAGUUUACUUGUCAUAUGAAAUUUUCUUAAAGAAAUCACAUAUUUUCUAGAAUUGAUUUUAUACAACAACAACAACAACAAUAACAAAAACCCAGUGUAAUCCCACAAGUGGAGUCUGGGGAAGAUAGUGUGUAUGUAUACCUUACUCCUACGCUAGGGGUAGAAAGUUAGUUAGAGUUGGAUGAACAGCAGAUAUCCUUCUAAAUUUAUUCUCAUCAUAUAUCCAACUUUGCUAGCUUACAAUCCAUUUCUUUCUUGAUUCUUCAACUUAAGAACCUAAAAAACUAUAUGAAAAGUCAACAUAAUCAUCUGAUAAUUUGAAUGUACUAUAUAUUAAAAAUUAUACUGUCAGCAUGAAUUUUGGGACAACACUGAAACUUUAGAACUUGUAGACAUCCCUCACACAUAACUUUACAUUUACACUUCUUAUUGUAAAUCUUUCAGCUAUUUGUCAAUGCAAGAUAUGAUUCAUUUAGCAUUUCUAAGGACUUAAUGAACCAGGAGAGUGGAUCGUACAGUAUAGUUGAUAUCUGCUUUAAAGUGUGACAAUAAGAGCCAAGACUUUGAACCAAACCAAAUUUUUCAAAAACACACUGCUUAGGGCUCUUGUGUGUCUAAAUAUCAGAAGAUCCUUGAUUGAUCCGACGCUUCCUAAAGUAGGACCAAAGAUUACUUCUUAUUCGUUUGUAGCAAGGGACAAGAAUACUUUGUUUUCUCCUGAUAUUUAGGGUGAGACUGUAAUCAAUUUAAAGAAUAAUAUAGCAAUCAGUAAGCUAAUUAGCCUUCAAGAGAGGAUGCUCUAUUGGUCGUAGCUCUGGAUAAUAGGUACUUGCUCUUCUUACUAGCUAGUUCCUGCAACUUUGAUUUAAACAACGGAAAUAGCAACAUUAUUAACUAACAUUGGCAUAUACCACUUAGUGAUAAAGUUUAACAAUACUUACUCGAUAUCGUACGUAGCAGCAAGACCUUUGUAUUUGUCAUCAUAAUUUGGCAAUAAUAAUGAGCCACUUCAAUUCAGCACGGAUAGAAGUAACUUUGUCCAACUGUAAAGAACUUAAUUUUGUUAGAUAGAUUCUAGAGGUUAAAAUUCAGAAGUGAAACGAUACAGCACAUUAAAUCUAGACCUAAUUGUGUUUCCAGAUUAGUGUACAGUUUAAGUCAACCCAGCUAUCCUGAACAAUACUAUUCACAAGAAGAAAAUAUGAAUACACUUAAUUGAAAAAAGAAGAGAAUGAGAAUAGUAAAUGCAACAGGGACAACAAUCUUAUAAGAUGGAGCGACAAUAAUCUUAGAGGACAAAGAGCAACUGAUAAGAAUGGUAUUAAAGAAAAGCAUAUCUUUGUGUAUUUGUAAACUACUACCAAAAAAUUUAUGAAAGUCCAAGUUAACUUCUUACUUUUAAAUUCUUAUUAGAGGCUGAUUUAAUCUUUUCUUAAGAGCAUUAUUCAACCUUUCAAAAUUUGAUUGAAUAAUCCUUAUUAGUCAUAGUUGAAAAAUAAUCUAUACAAGAUCAACCUCCUACAUGACGUACUUAUUAUACUCUUUUUGGAUCAUAAAGAGCAAUACAUGAGCUGUGACUGUCAAUUUCUUAUUAGCCAACAUUGAUUCCAUCAAACAUACUCCAAAAAUUCAUUAUGCUUAUUCUAGUUUCCUUGUUCUAAUUUCAUUUGAUUCAUUGGCUUCUCAAGAAAAUUUUGGGAACUAGUUUUCACAAUAUUUCUUGAUCCAGAGUUUCCUUUAUUUUGCAUAUAAUCCACCAGCAAUAAAAUUAAAGCAAAAGUGACCAAAACUCCAACAUCGUCUAAUUAUUAUACUAACAAAUCAGAAAAAUAAAUCAGUGUAAGAAAUGAGACAAAAUUGCAGAAUACCCAUUACACAAAGAGCACAAAAAUAAAAGAGAAAACGGAAACUAAAGUGAAUAGAAAUUCCAGGAAUUACCAACUAUUAUAUCAUCAAAACAAUGUCUAAAUCGAGAUAGAAAUGCUAAAUUGUAGAGUAUUUGAAGUAAUCUACAACUUUUUACAGAAAAAUAAAAAAUAAUGGAAAUCCACAAUAACUCCUAGACCAAUUCACUAUCAAAUAAUCCACCAUGUAUGUGAGAAUCAAAAUGCAUAAUACCUACCCAGAAGAUGAAAAUUUUGAAGAGUUCCUUACCUUUGAGCAGUUAGGUUUUGGGCGACGAGGAACUUAGAUCGCAGCGGUAUAGAUUUCAUACACCUUGUUGGUAUGAACUGUAUAUUGGGUACUUAAAUUGGCGAAGAUGGCAUUUGAUGACGCGGCGGAAGCAGCUAAAGAGACAGUGCCUUAAUCGAUUUUUGGCUCUCUUCUGAUAUGUGGUGGAAGGGUUUUCUUUCUCCUCUAAUCUCUCUAAAUUAAGGCUUUGAUUUUUGCCAAAAAAUUUAGAGGGGGAAAG
rnacentral:lncRNA from 1 species